rnacentral:lncRNA from 1 species
GGGAAAACGCAGAGUCCAACAAUGGGAUAAAAAUGUGCCUCAAGAGUGGGUAAAUUGAACUCCCCCAAGCCACUGAAGAUUGCUAAGGGUCUUCAUUUUGGCAAUAUAGAUCCAAAUAUUGUGAUAACAGAGGUUACCAAAGGACUUUGUCUCCAUUAUAUAGAGUUAACAGAGAUAUGGCAUGAACAUGUAUUAGAAAAAUGAUUCACACACAAUAGAAAAAAUAAGUAAGACCAGGAUUGGGUGGCUUUGGAGAAUGUAAUUUCAGCUUGAAUAUGAAGAUGCUUGUAGAACAGUGUUCCUUCCUCUGAACAUGGCUACAGAAGAACAAAUCAGUUAGUCUGAAGAUGAAAACAAGAAGCUGAUGGUAGACACAUUCUGAACUGGCUAACACAACACUCUGAAACUGGAGGAUAUCAACUGAUAAGAUAUGAAGUUCUCCCUUAGUUUCAAAUACACUGGGUUCAUAAAUUAUUGACAUAAACAAUAGAUGUCCCAUCAAGCUACCAUGAAGAUAGCUAGGUCUGCACAACUCCUCAAGUGUCGACCCCUCCAAGCACAUCCUCCACCUGGAACUGUGAACUGAAUGGAUAAAUGUGUUGGUCAGAAAG